UCCGGAGCUCUCACCGCUCCCCUGUGCAAUCCGAACGGCUGAAAACCAAGGGAGAACAAGGCGCAAAGAGUCGCCGCCUGCCCCCCUGAGUUCCUCCAGCAUUUUGUGUCUGUUGCUUUGGGUUCAGGAUCUGCAGAUUCUCGCCUGAUAAAUCAUUGCGCAUGCGUGGUCGUCGCCACCAAUCCCGACUAUCGCGCAUGCGCCAAGUAGCAGAGUCUGACAACGACCGGACAAAGGUUUGAAAUGGCAGAACACUUGCGCAUGGGAAUCUCAAACACAACAACACAUCAGUUUUGCUGAAUGACUGGAUAUUUAAGGAGUGACCAAAUAUUUUCUUUGCAACACCAACACCUCUGUUGUCGAUCCACGGAGAUGAAGAAUUAUCUCAUAACAUCUGGUAAUGUGUUCUGUCACUGAAAUCAAGCAUUCUGUUGUAACUCAGUGAAAUCCACUUGAACCGGGGUGCUGAGAACACACCAGCAUUUGUUCACUGGAGAUCAGUUCUUCUACUGCAUUGAUUGUAGAAGGGAUUCAAACAUCUGACUGUCUGAAUUGCAGAGAAUUGAUCACAGUGAGAUAUCAUUCUCCUUCUCUCAGUGUGGGAGGGGAUUCACUCACAGCCUACCCACAGACACGCCAGUGAGUUCACAGUGAGGAGAGGCCAUUCACCUGCUCUGUGUGAGGGAAGGGAUUCACUCACAGCCUACCCACAGACACGCCAGUGAGUUCACAGUGAGGAGAGGCCAUUCACCUGCUCUGUGUGAGGGAGGGGAUUCACUCACAGCCUACCCACAGACACGCCGGUGAGUUCACAGUGGGGAGAGGCCAUUCACCUGCUCUGUGUGAGGGAGGGGAACUACUCAGUCAUCCAGCCUGAAGAUACAUCAGCAAGUUCACACCACA